rnacentral:rRNA from 1 species
CCUACGGGUGGCAGCAGUGGGGAAUAUUGGACAAUGGGCGAAAGCCUGAUCCAGCCAUGCCGCGUGUGUGAAGAAGGCCUUCGGGUUGUAAAGCACUUUCAGUGGGGAAGAAAGCCUUGGGGCUAAUACCCUCGAGGAAGGACAUCACCCACAGAAGAAGCACCGGCUAACUCCGUGCCAGCAGCCGCGGUAAUACGGAGGGUGCGAGCGUUAAUCGGAAUUACUGGGCGUAAAGCGCGCGUAGGCGGUCUGAUAAGCCGGUUGUGAAAGCCCCGGGCUCAACCUGGGAACGGCAUCCGGAACUGUCAGGCUAGAGUGCAGGAGAGGAAGGUAGAAUUCCCGGUGUAGCGGUGAAAUGCGUAGAGAUCGGGAGGAAUACCAGUGGCGAAGGCGGCCUUCUGGACUGACACUGACGCUGAGGUGCGAAAGCGUGGGUAGCAAACAGGAUUAGAUCCCCAGUAGUC